rnacentral:rRNA from 1 species
GACGAACGCUGGCGGCGUGCUUAACACAUGCAAGUCGAACGGAAAGGCCCUGCUUGCAGGGUACUCGAGUGGCGAACGGGUGAGUAACACGUGGGUGAUCUGCCCUGCACUUCGGGAUAAGCCUGGGAAACUGGGUCUAAUACCGGAUAGGAGCCAUUUUUAGUGUGAUGGUUGGAAAGUUUUUUCGGUGUAGGAUGAGCUCGCGGCCUAUCAGCUUGUUGGUGGGGUAAUGGCCUACCAAGGCGGCGACGGGUAGCCGGCCUGAGAGGGUGGACGGCCACAUUGGGACUGAGAUACGGCCCAGACUCCUACGGGAGGCAGCAGUGGGGAAUAUUGCACAAUGGGCGCAGGCCUGAUGCAGCGACGCCGCGUGGGGGAUGACGGCCUUCGGGUUGUAAACUCCUUUCGCUAGGGACGAAGCUUUUUGUGACGGUACCUAGAGAAGAAGCACCGGCUAACUACGUG